AUGAACGUUGUAUUAAGGGGUUUCUAUCAGUUAGUAACAAAGCCGGCAGUAUCCUUGAAUUCAGGGGUCAGCUACGGGAGGUAUAUCUCCAUGUGUGCCGAAGAAGCGUCUAUCAUUAUACGCUGUUUAUCCAAUCAAAAACUUCUUCGUUUAGUUGGUAGAACCCACGCCAAUAUCAUAUUGACUCUCUCUCGUCCAAUAAGAGUUUCCGAGAGUUACUUUAUUCAAAUUCUCUCCUUUCCAAAGAUCCACAAGGAAAAAAGAGUAAUAGGACAACAAUAUUGCUUUCAUUUAUUUUGA
rnacentral:rRNA from 1 species